AGAGUUUGAUCAUGGCUCAGAUUGAACGCUGGCGGCAGGCCUAACACAUGCAAGUCGAACGGUAACAGGAAGCAGCUUGCUGCUUCGCUGACGAGUGGCGGACGGGUGAGUAAUGUCUGGGAAGCUGCCUGAUGGAGGGGGAUAACUACUGGAAACGGUAGCUAAUACCGCAUAAUGUCGCAAGACCAAAGAGGGGGACCUUCGGGCCUCUUGCCAUCGGAUGUGCCCAGAUGGGAUUAGCUUGUUGGUGGGGUAACGGCUCACCAAGGCGACGAUCCCUAGCUGGUCUGAGAGGAUGACCAGCCACACUGGAACUGAGACACGGUCCAGACUCCUACGGGAGGCAGCAGUGGGGAAUAUUGCACAAUGGGCGCAAGCCUGAUGCAGCCAUGCCGCGUGUAUGAAGAAGGCCUUCGGGUUGUAAAGUACUUUCAGCGGGGAGGAAGGGAGUAAAGUUAAUACCUUUGCUCAUUGACGUUACCCGCAGAAGAAGCACCGGCUAACUCCGUGCCAGCAGCCGCGGUAAUACGGAGGGUGCAAGCGUUAAUCGGAAUUACUGGGCGAAAAGCGCACGCAGGCGGUUUGUUAAGUCAGAUGUGAAAUCCCCGGGCUCAACCUGGGAACUGCAUCUGAUACUGGCAAGCUUGAGUCUCGUAGAGGGGGGUAGAAUUCCAGGUGUAGCGGUGAAAUGCGUAGAGAUCUGGAGGAAUACCGGUGGCGAAGGCGGCCCCCUGGACGAAGACUGACGCUCAGGUGCGAAAGCGUGGGGAGCAAACAGGAUUAGAUACCCUGGUAGUCCACGCCGUAAACGAUGUCGACUUGGAGGUUGUGCCCUUGAGGCGUGGCUUCCGGAGCUAACGCGUUAAGUCGACCGCCUGGGGAGUACGGCCGCAAGGUUAAAACUCAAAUGAAUUGACGGGGGCCCGCACAAGCGGUGGAGCAUGUGGUUUAAUUCGAUGCAACGCGAAGAACCUUACCUGGUCUUGACAUCCACGGAAGUUUUCAGAGAUGAGAAUGUGCCUUCGGGAACCGUGAGACAGGUGCUGCAUGGCUGUCGUCAGCUCGUGUUGUGAAAUGUUGGGUUAAGUCCCGCAACGAGCGCAACCCUUAUCCUUUGUUGCCAGCGGUCCGGCCGGGAACUCAAAGGAGACUGCCAGUGAUAAACUGGAGGAAGGUGGGGAUGACGUCAAGUCAUCAUGGCCCUUACGACCAGGGCUACACACGUGCUACAAUGGCGCAUACAAAGAGAAGCGACCUCGCGAGAGCAAGCGGACCUCAUAAAGUGCGUCGUAGUCCGGAUUGGAGUCUGCAACUCGACUCCAUGAAGUCGGAAUCGCUAGUAAUCGUGGAUCAGAAUGCCACGGUGAAUACGUUCCCGGGCCUUGUACACACCGCCCGUCACACCAUGGGAGUGGGUUGCAAAAGAAGUAGGUAGCUUAACCUUCGGGAGGGCGCUUACCACUUUGUGAUUCAUGACUGGGGUGAAGUCGUAACAAGGUAACCGUAGGGGAACCUGCGGUUG
rnacentral:rRNA from 1 species